AUUGAACGCUGGCGGCAUGCCUUACACAUGCAGGUCGAACGGCAGCACGGGAGCAAUCCUGGUGGCGAGUGGCGAACGGGUGAGUAAAGUAUCGGAACGUGCCCAGUCGUGGGGGAUAACGUAGCGAAAGUUACGCUAAUACCGCAUACGAUCUAUGGAUGAAAGCGGGGGAUCGCAAGACCUCGCGCGAUUGGAGCGGCCGAGAUCAGAUUAGGUAGUCGGUGGGGUAAAGGCUCACCAAGGCGACGAUCUGUGGCUGGUCUGAGAGGACGACCAGCCACACUGGGACUGAGACACGGCCCAGACUCCUACGGGAGGCAGCAGUGGGGAAUUUUGGACAAUGGGCGAAAGCCUGAUCCAGCCAUGCCGCGUGCAGGAUGAAGGCCUUCGGGUUGUAAACUGCUUUUGUACGGAACGAAAAGGUUUGGCCUAAUAAGCUGAGCUCAUGACGGUACCGUAAGAAUAAGCACCGGCUAACUACGUGCCAGCCGCCGCCGUAA
rnacentral:rRNA from 1 species